rnacentral:rRNA from 1 species
GGUUGGUCGGUCAGUGUUUGGAUCGCGGCGACGUGGGCGGUUCGCUGCCGGCGACGUCGCGAGAAGUCCACUGAACCUUAUCAUUUAGAGGAAGGAGAAGUCGUAACAAGGUUUCCGUAGGUGAACCUGCGGAAGGAUCAUUGUUGAUGCCCACGAGAACAAGACAGACGAAAGCGAACUCGUGAACCCUCGUUCUCGGCCCGCACGCCGGGGCGGCGCCUUGCACGUGCCGGGCAACGACGAACCAAAUCCCGGCGCAGGACGCGCCAAGCAACUCUGGAAGCUUUUGAUUGCGGCGUCCUCUUCCCCGUCGGGCCGGAGGGCGCGCAUCGAGCACUUACGAGUCAGUACGACUCUCGGCAACGGAUAUCUCGGCUCUCGCAUCGAUGAAGAACGUAGCGAAAUGCGAUACUUGGUGUGAAUUGCAGAAUCCCGCGAACCAUCGAGUCUUUGAACGCAAGUUGCGCCCGAGGCCUUUCGGUCGAGGGCACAUCUGCUUGGGCGUUAAACAACUCGUCCCCCAACCCCCCCCCCCCCUUCUACCUCCACGCCCCGAGUGUGAGGGGUCUGGCCGAGAGGAGAGGUAGGUUGGGCGGAGUCUGGUCGUCCGUGUGCUCGCUGCGCAUGCGGUUGGCUGAAAAGCCUGGUGGGCCACGGGCUGCGUGCGGCUCAACGAGUGGUGGUUGUGCGCCCCUGCGAGGCCACGAUUGUCAGCGCGUUGCGCCGUUCCCUCCUCGAUUGCCCAGCAAAGUACCCUACACAAUCGAAGCAUCCCAAUCCAGGGAUCGAUUCGAAUUGCAACCCCAAGUCAGGUGGGACUACCCGCCGAGCUUAAGCAUAUCAAUAAGCGAGACGAUAAGGGG